AGUAUACCGCAGACAUCAUUUCUACUACAGUGGCGGAGCCGUACAGGACCUGUUUCACUGCAGGGGGAUCCAAAACAAGCCCCGUGGAGCAGCAGCCAGAGCUACAGCAGCCGCAAGACACUGUUUCUCUCCCUCUGCCCCCCCUUCCCCACGCAACCCCAGAUCCAUUUACACUUUACAGCCGAUCGUGCAGCAGAUCGCCAGGGUGUCCCAUUCAAGCUGCAGAUUUGUCUGUCAUCGUCGGACGGCGGCGGCGGCGGUGGCGGCAGCGGUGGCGGUCCCCUCUUCCUCGUCCGCGGCAGGGAAGUGUGUCUCACAUCAGCAUUCUGGAGCACAAUGGAUGAGUUUAUUUUGAGGCUUCAAAAGUAGUGCUGCUACAGAUGAGGAGCAAGAGAGAAAGUGUGGACCUCAGCCUGCAGGAGCGGUCUUGAAAGUGAUCUUGGGUCUAGGCAUUUUACAUUGAGUUUCUCCACUGCCUCCCUUUCUGCUCAAGCAAAAUCUGUGCGAAAAAGAUCUGCUGGGAAGGAACCAACUGCUUGGGAUUCUCCAUUGUGAUGAAAGCACGUGGUGCAGUUUUCCAAAGAAAUUAGUCCGUUGUCUGGGUGAAGAGAAACCCAUCUGCUGUUUCCACAGGGUAUCACUCCCUUCUCUGUGAGAGGAAGAAAGAACAGGCCUGGGCCCAGGAGCGCUCCAGCUUUUUGUGGGACGUCUCCAUGGUGAAGGACAGGCUGGGGCUACCUGUGAACAGCGCACAGUGAAUGUUGGGCACGGGCCAGGGUGCUGAAAGACUAUGAAGCUUUGGCACUAGGUGAUCCUCCAAUUAGUUUCUUUUUUUAGGGGAGAGGUUCUGUUUUCAUUUGCCGUGAACUUGCCUUUCUCUCAGCUUCUGCGGGGCACUGCUCAUUAGCUCCUUCUGGAAUAACAGCGUGGAAGACAGUGCUUCUUUCACUGUAGGAACACCUGUUCUCCUGGAGCAGUAUCCGAUUUCGAACAGGCUCUUUUAAACUGGGCUAUGGCCGUCCUUUUAGGUUGGUGGGUAAGGGAGGUUAAAAUCCUCCAGUCUCAGGAUUCCGGGCCAGGGUUUCCACCCAGUAGUUAUUUUAUUUACGUGCAGUUUUUGAUCAGAAGGAAAUGUUUUUCUGGCUUUCCAAGAUCUGAGGUAUGCAUGUACAGUCAGCUGUUGAGGGUGCUUCUCUUACUCAGAAUUGGCUGAUGUAUUGGUUUUUAUCAGACUCCCGGGUUGGGAUUUUGAGAUGCGUAGUUUUUGCAUGUCAUCUGCUGGUCACCUUUCUGGGGGGGAUUUUUAGGAUCCAGUCAUGGAAGAGCCAACACAUGAAGGGCUUUGCGGUAUGAUGGGUUUGCUCAGCAUUGCUGCUUUCCGGAGAUUUUAUUUCAUUGCUAGGCUGUGUCAUUAAAAAAAAAAAAAAAGUUUAGAAGAGUUUUGACCAGAAAAGAAUACAGCUACAGCAAACCCAGGAUGGCCAAUGAACAUAAUACCUUCAAAUUUUAGAAAAUGAAGAACCAAUUUCAACUAGGUUUUUUAUGUAUGUGCAUAAAUACAUAUUUAUAUACAGAUAUACUUAAUAUAGAUCAUAUAUUUGUGGGUGUAUGUAUUUUAUAUACAUAAAUACAGGUUUAGCUGUAUAUACACAUAUGUGUGUAUAUGCAUGUGUGUAUGUGUGUGCGUAUAUAUAUAAAGUUGUCAGCGUCUUAAAAGUCGGGAAACUUUUUCAGUCACUUAUUACCUGUUUUCUUCCCAGUUGCAGAAGUGAUUUUGAAAGAGCAAGGUUCAGUAAGACGAGGGCAUAUAUCUAAGAGAAAGAGCAUUUACUGUUUGAAAAGAAAAAUUUCCACCGAAUUUUUUCUUGAAAAAUUUUCCACCGAAUUUUUUCUUGAUUUUCUAAAAAUGGAUCCUAAAUAUGUAUAUUUAUUCAUAUUUCCUAAAGGUUAAGUAGUCCUAUUAAGAGCAGCUUCUUGAAUUCACAGUCUCUCAGAACCUCAGAGGAAAUGGGUGACGGGAGAUGUUGGUGUUUUCAUGGGCUUUCCUUUGUGCAUAUGAUCCCCUUGGUUCUGGUGGAAAGUACACAGCUCCUGGAAUUACUGACCUAAAUUCUUUUCCUGGUCCUGGGGUCAUGGUCAAGUAAGUUUGCAACCUUGAGCAAGCCGCUGAGCUCCACGAAGUGUUGGUUUCUAAGUUUGUAAGUUGCUCCAUGUUGCUUGUUUAUUGAUGAGUUGUCAUCUCGGUUUAGGGUCCCCAUAAGGAGUAUCUUGUGACACUCUUGAAUCUUACCCCCCUCAAAAAAAGUCUCUUAUUCUAAAGGUUUGUAUCACUAUUAAGGAAUAAUUAGUGGGCCCUGUUACAUCUGAGUGCUACAGUAGCAAUGAGUUUUUCCGGCAACUAUUUUCCUAACCAUGUAGCCAACAGAAUGCACAUCUGGUGAUUUUUUUUUUUUAAAAGCAUUGUUAUCCUGGGGCACAAAUGUCUUAUGGAAAAGGGCUUUAGGUUUCGGAUUACAUUGAAAAGAACAGUGUGUGGUUACUAUAAUCAAGAUAGCUUUUGUUUUGAAUCUGGUGGAAUGUGUGUGUGUAUGUUUAAUUAUUGCUUUGAACUGCUCAUGUGAUACCCUGCCUGACCUCAAACAUUGAGGUUUCCAAAGAAGUUCUGAAGGGUAAACUAAGAUGCCACAUGGCCAACUUAAAGUCAUUUUAAAAUCCUUCUGUAAAUGGAGUGGGUUGAGGGAGAGAGGAAGAAAAUGCUAAAUCCCUUUGAACUCCUAAGGACCUUUUCUUCCCAAUUGCAUUUGCUUGGGGAAGUGGAGGAGGUUCCAGUUUUCUUGGUAAAUUUUAACAUUUAUAACCGUUUGUAACCUUGGUGCAUUUGUACAAUAAUGAAUUCGUAUUUUCCCCUGACUUUGGUGUCCCGGGUGCCCCGUGGCUGUGCCAUGAUAAUAGGGAAGGCUGGAGGUUUUCAAAGGGCGUGUGCUUGCCCAUGAUGGGGUAUGAUGUUGGAAAUAGAAAGAUUUGACUGCUCAUCAGGGCAGCCAUUGGAAUCCGAAGCCCUUGCAGGCUGUGCCCAGACUCACCGCCUUUGUGGUUCUCCUUUGCUUGUCACCAUUAACCAGCUCUCAGACCUGCCACCAUCUUUCCAGCAGAUGGACUUGACUCUUGAAAGUGCCUCAAACUGGCUCCAAGAUGUGGUAUUUCAUACAGGAGAGGAGUGACAAUAAAACUGACCUAGAAGUCAGGAGACCGAGGUUUUACCCGUGAUGCUUCCGUUAACUAUAUACCCUUGGCCUCCCCAGAGCCCUGGGGACCCAUUUUCUGCUGAGUACGUGAGAAAGUUGAGUUAGAAGAAUCCCCAGCACUCAUUUCAGUGUCUAAGUAUCAGUCUUAGGUGACACCAAUUGGACCUUCGUUUUACCCUGAUUGGCAGCUGAAAGUCAGUGAUUUGGCACAACCUCAAUUAACGAAUGCUUUUUUUUUUUUCCUUUUCCAGGGCCGCAGGUAUGGCAUAUGGAAGUUCCCUGGCUAAGAGUCAAAUCAGAGCUGCAGCUGCUGGCCACAGCCACACCAGAUCUGAGCUGCAUCUGCGACCUACACGAUAGCUCAGAGCAGCGCUGGAUCCUUGACCCACUGAGUGAGGCCAGGGAUCAAACUGGCAACCUCAUGGAUAUGAGUCAGGGUCAUCUCCAUUGCGCCACAACGGGAACUCCUACAAAUGCUUUUGAAACAUUGAGCACAGUCUUGUGGUUAAAGAGAAAGAAAAAAAAAAGCAUUAUGUCAUCUGUCAGACCACCAGCUCCCCUUUUCCUCAGGACCCCCCUGCCCCCAGGCACCAUGUGAGAAAUUGCCAAGUGUUCAUUUUAAGUGCUUUCUAAGAAUAUCGUUUUAGUCAUUUCAAUUUAGGACCCAUACUAAUGGGUAUUUUUGAAGAUUAAAUAUGAGCCAUUCUUGAAACUUAACGUUUUAGAAACCAUCCACCUCCGUAUUCAGGUAUUACCUAGGACAUAAGCAAGGAGGCAGUGCUCUAGGUUGCUUUCCUGAGCUUCUCAGCUUCAUUAAGUAGGUGUUGUCCAGCCGUCUCUUCAAAGCAGCCUUCCCUGACCUACGAAAAAUAGCACCCAUCCCACCCUCUGAAUCCUCUGGCCUGUGUAAUUUUUUAAGUACCCACAUGUUAUAAGUGUAUUUGUAAUUGUCUCCUCAACUAGACUGUAAGUUCCACGCAAGCAGGAAUAUUAUUAUUAUUAUUAUUAUCAUUAUCAUUAUCAUGAUUGUUCCUGGUCAAUCCACAACACCUAAAAUGCUGCUUGGUCUGUCGUGGGGUGAUGGGCACACAGUUAGUAUCGGUUGCGUGACUCUUUUAAGGACAGAGUAAAUACACACCUGGGCUUCUCAUGGGUGGGCCCAAGGCAUUAGGAAAAGGAUUAUACACAUGCUUCUGAUGAGAAGUGCUUUAAUCCGAUAGUACUUUGGUCAGGUAGAGAGUGGCAUCUAGAGACUAGUUUAUUGCCUAGUCCUUGGAAAUAGAUGUUAAAUGCUGGCGAUGUAUAUAACUCAGUGUUGGAAAGGAACCAUUUGU
ensembl:lncRNA